rnacentral:rRNA from 1 species
CCUACGGGGGGCUGCAGUGGGGAAUUUUGGACAAUGGGGGCAACCCUUAUCCAGCCAUGCCGCGUGAGUGAAGAAGGCCUUCGGGUUGUAAAGCUCUUUCGGCCGGGAAGAAAUCGCUCAAGCUAAUACCUUGGGUGGAUGACGGUACCGGAAGAAGAAGCACCGGCUAACUACGUGCCAGCAGCCGCGGUAAUACGUAGGGUGCGACCGUUAAUCGAGCUUACUGAGCGUAAAGCGUACGCAGGCUGUGAAAUCCCCGGGCUUAACCUGGGAACUGCGUUUGUGACUGUGGUGCUCGAGUGCGGCAGAGGGGGGUGGAAUUCCACGUGUAGCAGUGAAAUGCGUAGAGAUGUGGAGGAACACCGAUGGCGAAGGCAGCCCCCUGGGUCGACACUGACGCUCAUGCACGAAAGCGUGGGGAGCAAACAGGAUUAGAUACCCUAGUAGUC